rnacentral:tRNA from 1 species
UCCUCGGUAGUAUAGUGGUGAGUAUCCCCGCCUGUCAAGGGGGAGACCGGGGUUCAAUUCCCCGCCGGGGAG